GCCCUUAUAGCUCAGCUGGUAGAGCAUCUGAUUUGUAAUCAGAGGGUCGGGGGUUCGAGUCCCUCUGGGGGCACCA
rnacentral:tRNA from 2 species